rnacentral:miRNA from 2 species
GGGCAACAUCUCCAUUGGCAGG